rnacentral:RNase_P_RNA from 2 species
GGAGUGGGUCAAGGCAAUCGCUGCUUGCGCAAGCAAGGGGAGGAAAGUCCGGGCUCCACAGGGCAGGGUGCCAGGUAACGCCUGGGAGGCGCGAGCCUACGACUAGUGCAACAGAGAGCAAACCGCCGAUGGCUCAGUCUUUCUUCGGAAAGCCUGAGAUCAGGUAAGGGUGAAAGGGUGCGGUAAGAGCGCACCGCGCGACUGGCAACAGUUCGUGGCACGGUAAACUCCACCCGGAGCAAGAUCAAAUAGGCCCUCUAUGGCGCGGCCCGCGUUGAGGGCGGGUAGAUUGCUUGAGGCUUAGGGUGACCUAAGUCCUAGAGGAAUGAUUGCUACUCUGGCAACAGAGCACAAAACCCGGCUUAAUGACCGACUCCCCUA